rnacentral:tRNA from 1 species
GUGCUCCUCGAUGGCGAACACCGCGUCGAGCCGUGCGGUCUGCUUCCCAAGCAGAUGGCGCGGGUUCGAUUCCCGUCAGUCCCUCCA